AUCAGAGAAGACACAAUCUCCCAGCAUCCACCUGUAUUUGCAUCAUGUAGCUGUGGUGCCACCUAACUGUUUAAUUACAUUAACAUGUAAACUAGUGAUAAAUUCCAGUAAAUUAAAAUAUAUUGAGCUUUGAUACCUCCUAUUAAGAAAAGAAAAUGUCAUCCACCACACGAUAUAAGCCUUUACAAGUAAAGGUGAAGGAUAGUGUUGUACUAGAAAUAGCAUGUGUGCUUGCCACCCGCUGUCCGCUAGGUGGCAGCACCUUUAUUUCACGCUGCCACAUGACUGAACUCCAGUGAUGAAAGCCUGAUCCACCACAGAACAGCAUCAGAAAGCUGAUGCAGCUCAGUUAACGUCUCCGAGGAGUGUGUCAGGCCAGACUUUAAAUGUCAGCAGCAGAGAGGAAUCUAUGGGCCAAGUUUCCACCGAGUGCUCUGCAGAAGGAGACGUGUGGGUGGCGUCACGUGACGUCACCGUGUCAGCGACGUGCAGCUGUGCUCUACUCACCCUCCUUGAAUUGGUUUGACUGCCCUGUUCAGGCCCCAGGCAGCUUUUAUGCAGGUGGAAAAUGGAGGUUGGACCUAACUGGACAGAGCCCGGUGGAGAGGAGCAGGACGGGGGGAUGGGGACAACGCGCCUGCUGGAGCUGAUGCUGCUGAGCCUUGGAGGAAGUAGGUCAAAGCUGACCUUGGUGGCAGCCGAGCUGCAACUCGAGGGCAGAAACCCAAAUAACCCAGCCAUGAAAAUAAAAAUCAAUGCAGGAAGUGGAUCUGUUGCCAGAAGGUAGUUCUCCAAGGUCAACGGCCCCGGCAGACGGACUAUCACAUUCAGCCUCUCCACCCAGUCACACAGAUGCAGACCAACAGCAGACAAUAGGGAAUGUGCCCACAACACCAUGCUGCCCACCUCAGACGGGCACUGAGCCUGUCUCUCAACAGAAGUGACGCGGUGUCGGGUGGCCUCUGCAGCAGUGACUGUACCAUCACCCGUUACUGGAUACGUCACUGUGUGACUGGUGGCACUGGAGGGAGGCUGAGGCCCCUGCUUCUGCGUACCUGCAGCCGCAGUGGGUGUCGGGGAGCACCCGCUGCGACUGUCAACCCUGAUGGAGCUACUGGAUCCAGCAAGUGCUGGAUGCAUGAAUAUGCAUAAACUGAUGAAUGUGUGACAUUAAACUAGCCAAUAUAUUGUUAGUUACUUGGAAAUAUGUGCUAUUGUAAACUUAUUCCAUUUUAAAAAUAUGCCUAAUGUUGCCUCUUAUACAGUACGUCACUCCUCCAGAGGGAAAUGCCCAGAAAAGGUUAACAAAGGUCAGCACAUAGCGGCUCUCACAGUCUAGUCAUCAUGUUAAGAUGAUUACAUAAAGGGAAUUAUCCAUCAAAGUGGGCUUAAGCAGGUCACAGGAGGAAUUCAGGCUUCUAUUAGAACACGACGCGCUUAUCUGUUCCACCAAAGCUGAGAGCGUCACAGAAAGCGAGUCAGGAAGGUGAAAAGUCCAACUGUAACUUCUCUAACUUCACACAUCUUCACGGUAAAAUAGACAGAAACGGAGGGCUUGUGGCUGACGACACACCGGCCACAGGAAUAGGCCGAAACUUGCUGCCAUGCUGUCGAUUAAAAGUGGUAUGAAUACACAAUAAAUAACUCUAUAAUUGGACUUUCA
rnacentral:lncRNA from 1 species